AUACGGAGGGAGCGAGCGUUAAUCGGAAUUACUGGGCGUAAAGCGCGCGUAGGCGGCUUUGUCAGUCGGAUGUGAAAGCCCUGGGCUUAACCUGGGAAUGGCAUUCGAUACUGCAGAGCUAGAGUAUGGUAGAGGGAAGUGGAAUUUCCGGUGUAGCGGUGAAAUGCGUAGAUAUCGGAAGGAACACCAGUGGCGAAGGCGACUUCCUGGGCCAAUACUGACACUGAGGUGCGAAAGCGUGGGGAGCAAACAGGAUUAGAUACCCCAGUAGUCC
rnacentral:rRNA from 1 species